GGUGGGGCACUUAUUUUCAGCUGUUGAGCUUAAAGCUGGCUUAGAAAACUAAGAUCAUGGCAUCCGGUCUCAUCAUUGCAUAGCAAAUAGAUGUGGAAACAAUGGAAACAGUGACAGAUUUUAUUAUCUUAGGCUCUAAAAUCACUGAAGAUAGUGACUGCAGCCAUGAAAUUAAAAGACACUUGCUACUUGGAGGAAAAGCUAUGACCAACCCAGACAGCAUAUUAAAAAACAGAGAGAUUACGUUGCCGACAAAGGUCCGUCUAGUCAAAGCUAUGCUUUUUCCAGUAGUCAUCUAUGGAUGAGAGAGUUGGACCAUAAAGAAGACUGAGCACUGAAGAAUUGAUGCUUUUCAACUGUGGUGUUGGAGAAGACUCUUGAGAGUUCCUUGGACUUCAAGGAGAUCCAACCAAUCAACCUAAAGGAAAUCAGUCCUGAAUAUUCAUUGGCAAGACUGAUGCUGAAGCUGAAGCUCCAAUACUUUGGCCACCUGAUAAGAAGAGGUGACUCACUGGAAAAAAACCUUGAAGCUGGGAAAGAUUGAAGUCAGGAGGAAAAUGGGAUGACAGAGGAUGAGAUGGUAGUAUGGCAUCACUGACUCUAUGGACAUAAGUUUGAGCAAGCUCUGGGAAUUGGUGAUGGACAGGGAGGCCUGGUGUGCUGCAGUCCAUGGGUUUGCAAAGAGUCUGACAUGACUGACUGAACUGAACUGAACUUCUAACUUUAUGGGGGAGAGGAGAAUAUUUCCUGAAUAUUUAAAAAUAUCUAAAUAUAUGAAACUGUUGGUUUAUGUCACAAACUGAAUACAAGAUCUGCAUUUUCACACUGAUUUUCAUCUUUUUAUUGAAUUCUGCAGGUAAUGAGAUUGGAAGUUUUCUCUUUGAACAUGAUGGUAGUGAUCAGACUAUCUGCAAUCUUGUACUCACCUAAGUUUACAGAGCAUUUUCUCAUGCAAGUCUUGACCCAAUGCCUAUUACUCGGAUGUGAUGCUCCUCAUUUCACAAGUGAGAAAGCGAAGCCCAGAAAGAGGGGUCCGGACUCACCUGGAGGACUGGGCCACCUGGAGGAGGGAGAAUGA
rnacentral:lncRNA from 1 species